GAUGAACGCUGGCGGCGUGCCUAAUACAUGCAAGUCGAGCGAGCAGACGAGGAGCUUGCUUCUCUGACGUUAGCGGCGGACGGGUGAGUAACACGUGGAUAACCUACCUAUAGGACUGGGAUAACUUCGGGAAACCGGAGCUAAUACCGGAUAAUAUAUUGAACCGCAUGGUUCAAUAGUGAAAGACGGUUUUGCUGUCACUUAUAGAUGGAUCCGCGCCGCAUUAGCUAGUUGGUAAGGUAACGGCUUACCAAGGCAACGAUGCGUAGCCGACCUGAGAGGGUGAUCGGCCACACUGGAACUGAGACACGGUCCAGACUCCUACGGGAGGCAGCAGUAGGGAAUCUUCCGCAAUGGGCGAAAGCCUGACGGAGCAACGCCGCGUGAGUGAUGAAGGUCUUCGGAUCGUAAAACUCUGUUAUUAGGGAAGAACAAAUGUGUAAGUAACUAUGCACGUCUUGACGGUACCUAAUCAGAAAGCCACGGCUAACUACGUG
rnacentral:rRNA from 1 species